rnacentral:lncRNA from 1 species
AUAACCAUGCUAUACUCACUGGUUAUCAGCUUGUUAAUAGAACAUCUCCUCACAAAAAUCUUACCUGCAAUGGCAGGGAUUUACAGUAAUAAGUUCAGUGGGCAUCUUAGAGAUGUGUGCAAGUUGGUUGUGGUCAUUGUGGCUCAUUGGUUUAUGACUCCACUGAUGCUGACAGAAGUCUAAUUCCCUGAUCAGAGAUGUAAGUGAUGAGAAGCAUGUUCUCUGCAUGCAACUGACAAACAAGUGUGACCACACUCCAUACUGGAUAUUGUGUUUAUGCUCCUCCAGUGCAGUAAUGACAGAGAAACCAUAAGUAAUCAAGACACACUGUGCAUUCCAGGAGAAACUGCCACUUGCUCAUGUCUGGCUUCAUCCUGUAAAGCGGAAAACAGCAGCGAUUGUGUGACUCUAUUCAAGUGCUAUGUGUUGUUCUGCAUCUUUCUUCUCUGCACCCCAAACUAAAAACUUUCAAAUAAAAAUAACUGAAAAACAGAAUAUUGUAUUCCU